rnacentral:rRNA from 1 species
AACGGGUGAGUAACGCGUAGAUAAUCUGCCCUUUAGUCUGGGAUAAGCUUUGGAAACGAAGUCUAAUACCGGAUGGUAUCUUUGGAGUUCAUGCUCCUUAGAUUAAAGAUCUGGAAUUGCUAAAGGAUGAAUCUGCGUGAUAUUAGCUAGUUGGUGAGGUAACAGCUCACCAAGGCGACGAUAUCUAGCUGGUCUGAGAGGAUGAUCAGCCACACUGGGACUGAGAUACGGCCCAGACUCCUACGGGAGGCAGCAGUGAGGAAUAUUGCACAAUGGGGGCAACCCUGAUGCAGCAACGCCGCGUGAGUGAUGACUCGGUUUAUCCGUGUAAAGCUCUGUUGUUAGGGAAGAAUAGUUGGAUUAGUAGUCCAAAAUAGACUGUACCUAAUCAGAAAGCUCCGGCUAACUCCGUGCCAGCAGCCGCGGUAAUACGGAGGGAGCGAACGUUGUCCGGAUUUAUUGGGCGUAAAGGGCACGUAGGUGGAUCCUUAAGUCAGUUGUUAAAUUUCACAGCUUAACUGUGUUGUGCAAUUGAUACUGGGGAUCUUGAGUUCGAGAGGGGAUGGUAGAAUGUCAAGUGUAGCGGUGGAAUGCGUAGAUAUUUGAUAGAAUACCUGAGGCGAAGGCGACCAUCUGGCUCGAUACUGACACUGAUGUGCGAAAGCAUGGGUAGCGAACAGGAUUAGAUACCCUGGUAGUCCAUGCCGUAAACGAUGGAUACUAGCUGUCGGAGGACUAACCCCUUCGGUGGCGCAGCUAACGCGUUAAGUAUCCCGCCUGGGGAGUACGAUCGCAAGGUUGAAACUCAAAGGAAUUGACGGGGGCCCGCACAAGCGGUUGAGCAUGUGAUUAAUUCGAUGCAACGCGAAGAACCUUACCUGGGCUUGAACUGUGUAUGACCACUUAAGAGAUUAAGUUUCCUAACUUGUUAGACAUAUAUAGAGGUGCUGCAUGGCUGUCGUCAGCUCGUGUCGUGAGAUGUUGGGUUAAGUCCCGCAACGAGCGCAACCCUUAUCAUUAGUUGCCAGCGCGUCAUGGCGGGGACUCUAAUGAGACUGCCCGGGUUAACCGGGAGGAAGGUGGGGAUGACGUCAAGUCCUCAUGGCCCUUAUGUCCAGGGCUUCACACGUGCUACAAUGGUCAGAACAGAAUGUUGCUACUUCGUGAGAAGAUGCUAAUCAUUAAAUCUGAUCCUAGUUCGGAUUGUAGUCUGCAACUCGACUACAUGAAGCUGGAAUCGCUAGUAAUCGCGGAUCAGCAUGCCGCGGUGAAUACGUUCCCGGGCCUUGUACACACCGCCCGUCACACCAUGGAAGUUGAUAGUGCCCGAUUCAACUGAUCUAACCUUCGGGAGGAAGGU